UUCUCUCUCUUCUCUCUUUUCUCCCUACGAUCUCUCUCUAUUUUCUCACCAUCUUCAUGAACAUCAUGAAGAACAACAAGAACACCACCACCCAUCCCCAGAUUCCGGCGAGCCAUCGCCGGCCACCGUCGCCGCCGGAGCUUCUUUCAUCUGUAAAAGAAGAUGGGUUCAACAUCAAAGACUUUAACCUUUGAGGAUCUGGCUAAACACAAUCACAAGAAAGAUUGAUGGAUCAUAGUCAACAAGUUCUUGCAUGUAGGAAAUUCUCAAUAGAUUCAAGUUUUUGGGUGUUGGAAAAACUAAGUGAACCAAACACUAGCUACUUUAGGCUUCUUUGGAGUUGAGAAGCUGCAAAUAAUGUGAGCAAGUUUACAUGUUCUCAAUAUCUCAUCUUGAUAUCCUUCAUUCAAUAAUUAGGUUAUCAAAGCUUAUAUGCUAAGGAUUUCGAACAACUUCAACUGUACCAUAGUCUUUUGGAUCAUCACAAUUUGAUUGAAUUGUA